rnacentral:lncRNA from 1 species
CUCACUUCAAUUCAAACAUUUGAAGAAAUUAUGAAAAUUCCGAUGAGUUUUUAAAGUUUGUGCUUGCUGUGGUGUAGUGUAGCCAUGCAUUGAUCUAUCAUCACAAUACUGUCAGUUACCUACCCUUAACAGCCUUUCCACUCCCAACUUCUGUGAACGGACAAGAGAUGCAAUUGUGAUCAUUGAACAUGAGGCAACAUCUUCUAGGAAGAUAUUUCCAUAGUCUUCAGAUAAAAGGAAGAGAUAUAUUUUCAGACAAUCUUUGAACAAUCCUAUAUGGAGCUUACCUGAAGUUGCUGUAGCCGUUUGGCAAGUCUGGGGAGACUAACAGACACACUGAGGAUAGCAGAAAAUAAAGAUAGAAACAGCCCAGGUUUUUGGUGAAAUUCAUGAGCUUCUGAAUAACGAACCCC